rnacentral:ribozyme from 13 species
AAAUAUAUCUUCCUUUUUUUUCUUUCCUUUCUUUUCUUGUUCUUCUUUUCUUUUCUUUUGAUUCUUUCUUGAUUCUCUCAAAAAGAAGAAGAGAGA